rnacentral:rRNA from 1 species
CCUACGGGAGGCAGCAGUGGGGAAUAUUGCACAAUGGGGGAAACCCUGAUGCAGCGACGCCGCGUGAGUGAAGAAGUAUUUCGGUAUGUAAAGCUCUAUCAGCAGGGAAGAAGAAAGACGGUACCUGACUAAGAAGCCCCGGCUAACUACGUGCCAGCAGCCGCGGUAAUACGUAGGGGGCAAGCGUUAUCCGGAUUUACUGGGUGUAAAGGGAGCGUAGACGGCUGUGCAAGUCUGAAGUGAAAGGCCAGGGCUCAACCCUGGGACUGCUUUGGAAACUGUGGAGCUAGAGUGCUGGAGAGGUAAGUGGAAUUCCUGGUGUAGCGGUGAAAUGCGUAGAUAUUAGGAGGAACCCCAGUGGCGAAGGCGGCUUACUGGACAGUAACUGACGUUGAGGCUCGAAAGCGUGGGGAGCAAACAGGAUUAGAUACCCUUGUAGUC